AUUGAACGCUGGCGGCAUGCUUUACACAUGCAAGUCGAACGGUAACAGGCCGCAAGGUGCUGACGAGUGGCGAACGGGUGUGUAAUGCAUCGGAACGUGCCCAGUCGUGGGGGAUAACUACUCGAAAGAGUAGCUAAUACCGCAUACGAUCUAUGGAUGAAAGCGGGGGACCGUAAGGCCUCGCGCGAUUGGAGCGGCCGAUGUCAGAUUAGGUAGUUGGUGGGGUAAAGGCUCACCAAGCCAACGAUCUGUAGCUGGUCUGAGAGGACGACCAGCCACACUGGGACUGAGACACGGCCCAGACUCCUACGGGAGGCAGCAGUGGGGAAUUUUGGACAAUGGGCGCAAGCCUGAUCCAGCAAUGCCGCGUGCAGGAAGAAGGCCUUCGGGUUGUAAACUGCUUUUGUACGGAACGAAACGGCUCUGGUUAAUACCCGGGGCUAAUGACGGUACCGUAAGAAUAAGCACCGGCUAACUACGUG
rnacentral:rRNA from 1 species